rnacentral:lncRNA from 1 species
UUAUUAUUUGGACUAUUAAACGCAAUUGGCCAUUAAUUAAACGUUUUAAAGAGUUUCUACUGUAUUAAAAGUACGAAGGUUUUUAGUGAAAUAUUUGUCACGAUUCCAAACCGGUCGUGAUGACGCCUUCCGUGAAGACAAGAUAAGCCGACAUAAUUUUCAAAUUCAGUUUUUAACAGUUUAAUAAGUCAAUUUAAAUUAUUUAGAAGGAUAAAUCACCAACAAGUACAGAUAUAGCGAAAUAAAACAAGUGCGAAAAUGAAUACAACCCGACAUCGGGGUGUCACAAGUCACGAGCAUCUACUAGGGUCUAAAUACAACUGUAAAGUCUGAAAUAUGCUAAAUACAGACUAAUGAAAUAAAGAGAGCGAAAAGCAGUGCUGCGAACGCCGACAGCUACUUUGCUAAACUCUGAUGACUCUGCCUCCGAUCAACCAAUACCUGCUAUCGAAUUCAGAAAUACCUAAAUCUGCACACAAGGUGUACG